GAUGAACGCUGGCGGCGUGCCUAAUACAUGCAAGUCGAGCGAACAGAUGAGGAGCUUGCUCCUCUGACGUUAGCGGCGGACGGGUGAGUAACACGUGGAUAACCUACCUAUAUGACUGGGAUAACUUCGGGAAACCGGAGCUAAUACCGGAUAAUAUAUUGAACCGCAUGGUUCAAUAGUGAAAGACGGUUUUGCUGUCACUUAUAGAUGGAUCCGCGCCGCAUUAGCUAGUUGGUAAGGUAACGGCUUACCAAGGCAACGAUGCGUAGCCGACCUGAGAGGGUGAUCGGCCACACUGGAACUGAGACACGGUCCAGACUCCUACGGGAGGCAGCAGUAGGGAAUCUUCCGCAAUGGGCGAAAGCCUGACGGAGCAACGCCGCGUGAGUGAUGAAGGUCUUCGGAUCGUAAAACUCUGUUAUUAGGGAAGAACAAAUGUGUAAGUAACUAUGCACGUCUUGACGGUACCUAAUCAGAAAGCCACGGCUAACUACGU
rnacentral:rRNA from 1 species